CAGCAGCCGCGGUAAUACGUAGGGUGCGAGCGUUAAUCGGAAUUACUGGGCGUAAAGCGUGCGCAGGCGGUUUUGUAAGACAGGCGUGAAAUCCCCGGGCUCAACCUGGGAAUGGCGCUUGUGACUGCAAAGCUAGAGUGCGGCAGAGGGGGAUGGAAUUCCGCGUGUAGCAGUGAAAUGCGUAGAUAUGCGGAGGAACACCGAUGGCGAAGGCAAUCCCCUGGGCCUGCGCUGACGCUCAUGCACGAAAGCGUGGGGAGCAAACAGGAUUAGAUACCCGUGUAGUCCCUGUCUCUUAUAC
rnacentral:rRNA from 1 species